AGUACGUAACACAUCCUCAUUAAGAACACCACACAGGGCAAAGCACAGCUAGAUCAUUAGCCAUAACACGGACACACCCCAAAUAUUAACUAGGAUCUUGCCUUAGGCAACUAGCCAAAAAAAACAUCCAAGCCCCUUGAAAGAUCAAUUAAACCUCCAAAGAAAACCAUCAUCCUAUUACAUUUAUAUUUCUAAAUUUAAAAUAUAAUUUUCAAAUAAUCAACAUAAAUCAAAACUAAUUAUUAAAAUCAAUCUGAUGUCUCAUUAUGCCAUUUGUCAAUGUGCUUCCAAUUAUAAAUAGCUGCAAGUUGAUCUGUACUUUGUGAAACUUGUUUGGUGCAGGAAUUGGAUGGCAGAGCAAUUCGGGUCUCUGUUGCAGGAGCUAGGCCAAGACGUCAAUUUUGAGCAAAAAACCUUUGCUGUAUUUCUUGGUGAACGAAUGCUACAGGGACUUGGAAGAUGAGCAACUGCAAUCUGUUGCUGUAUUGGUAUUCUUGAAACACAUGCCAAAUGAUCCUUGUUCCUAAAUUGCUUGUAGAAAUGACAAUCAUGUGCUUCUUAGAUGUAUGCAUCUAGAUGAAAAAGAGCCCUACAUUGAAAUUUCUUGAUGUAUGUUUUGGGUACCAUGAUCCUGAUGAAAACUCUCAUUUGUAAGGCUAUUUAUAAGUUCAAUGUAUCAGUUAUUUAGUUUGGCUUUCCCAUA